rnacentral:lncRNA from 1 species
GGCUAUGCAUGUGCGUCAAACAACUUAACAGGAUCUGUCCGAGUGUCCCAAGGACCCCGGAUAAACCACUUACCGCCAAGAUCGCAGGAUUAAGUAAACACAACUCACAUACAAACACUUGCAGCGGAAAUAAAAUCUUUAUUACAAAAUGAUUACAAAUUUAUCAAGAUGAUAUUAUACCUCAUCGGAGUGAUUACAAAAGAAAGUGUUUCAAAAGAAUUACACUUUAAAAUGUUAUAGAAUAUUUGUAAAUUUGAAAUACAUGCUAGCUUAAGUGACAAUCCUCAUUAAAGAAACUAUAGAAGGGAUAUACUUAUAUAAGAAGGCCGAGCCCACCGGCACUUAGCACCAUCCACAACAGAACAAAAUUACAACCUGAAAAACAACAGGGAAUAAAACCCUGAGUACGCAAUUACUCAGCAAGACUUACCCGACUAAAGAAAAGACUCUCAAGGGUAUGCUGGUUUAUUGGGAAUCAAGGUAAAGCUUAUCAAAUUUCAAAGACUCAUUUUUGCAGAAAAGCUUACUAGUAGUGGAUCCUUAUGCCAAGCUUUUACUUCACCAGUUAAGUAAUUUUCCUGAAUCUAGAUUUUCCUAAUCUAGAUCAUUCGCUUGUCCUACACUAGAUUCAUUUUAGCAGCUUUAGUUUCACUUGUUAUCUACGAUGAGGGUCGAAGAUCCAGUCUUCAUAUCCGAGAAGUUCGGCGAUCCGAAUCGAUUAAUACCCAGCUGGGGAUCUCCAACCACACGACAUAUGCUUCCCUUAACUCUUUUGCACAUGUCUACCAUUCCCACGGAUCCUCCACCACAUGAACAGGUCUGCGCCACCCGAGAGCACACCACCCCUUAUAGGCGGUCGGUUGCCAGGAGGGUACGUGCCACUCUCGCCAUCUCUCCACUCCCAGUGCGCGAUUGUCUUUUCAUGUAUGGAAUAGCCGGGUUCAAGCUUACCCAUGACGAGGUAUGUGGCCAGAUAAAGGGUCCUAGAUCAGCAGGACAACAAUCGGUACGGUCCUUAAUCGACACAGACGGGCGACCUGUCCAGCUCAACGUCUGGUCUCAUUUUAAACAAAUUCUCAAAGUUUGAUACCUGGCAGAGGUACCCUGCUUGAAUGAUGAAUUCAUCCCCGCGGAGGAUGUCUCCAUCAUCCCAAGCCCUUUUUCUUUUUUAAAAAUCAUGAGUCAUAGAUCAAAAACAUUUUUCUUAAUCUAUAAGCAAAAAUAAGCAUUACUAGUUUUUAUAAAACAGGUAACAAGGUAUGAUAAUCAAUCUUUCAAGGAUGGUAAUGCAUCAAGUGUUUAAUCAUUCAACUCCUAUUACCUAAUGCAGCAUAUAAGUGAUAAAAUUUUGUAAUACAAGGAAGGUGGCAAAUGCACCGGGGCUUGCCUGGGAUAACACUACGUUAGUGUUGUUAGAUGACAUCCACUUGGCAAUCAUCUCACAUCCUGACGCUUGAUCCGAUCACGCAAAUCUUCAAGUUUAUUCAUAAGUAUCCCUUGCGAAGAAGCCCACGCUUAACACCAUAUUGUGGUCGACUCAGCUCUGGUCCUCCAUAUCACAUGAUCCCUUAACGUACCUAAAUGAUAUGCAUAAUGCACAUGAGCAUGGGCAUAAAAAACACAAUAUAUAUAAUCUAUACUAAAGAGGAUAACACUUAAAACAAACAUUACAACCCUUGAGGGUAACUACUAGAUACAUUUAAUUCAAUAUCACUCAUGGCCUUCUAGUCAAAUGGACCUAACCAAAUAUCAAGAAAGCAAUACAUCAUUUUUAGACAACAAGGCAUUUGAUCAAGCAUUUAUUUGCAACUACAUAAGCAUAGGGACAUAGACAAAGCUAAUCCCAAGUCACACGUAUUGUAAUCAAUGAAUUACUAGUUAAUUAAGUUGCAUGAUCAUUACUACCUAUUACUACCUGGAUACCUUACUCUCCAAACAAAAACUCAAGUACCAGCAUGAGAAGGCCUAGAGAUAUACAAAUCCACAAUACUAUCCCUUACUAACUUUCUAUUAGUAAUGGAGAACACUUAAACGACAUGACCUGAUAGAAUUAAUAUGACAAACCACUAAUGAACCAUAAGUAAAUCUCCAUCUAUGACAUUUACUCAAUCAACAAAUAUUAAAUAUGACAAUUACUAAAAUAAGCCAUCACUUCAUCAAUUAAGAAUAAAAAAUUGACUAAUCCAACCUAGCCAAACAAGAAUGACUCCAAACAAUCAAUUUAACACAUGAAGAUUUUGGACAGCAGUACAGCAGUCAACAGUUUUGCUCAUAACUUACAAAAUAUGCAUCCAAAAAUAGUAAACUAAGACUUUCUGGAAAUCUUAGAAAGUCCUCUAUAACUCUUAUAUUAUCAUCACAACAUGAUUCGACAGAAUGGUCAAACAGUGCUAAACUUUAAUUCUGUCCAGAUUUGGAUAGAAUUCAGCUCUUCACUUCAAAAAUUCAUAACUGGAGUUUCAGAAAUCCAAAUCAGGUGAUCCUAGACUUUUUAGAAAGCUAGUAGAAUUGUCUACAAUUCAUUUAUAAUCAUCUCAAGGCGAUUCAAUGUGUAUCGAAGUCAGUUAAUACAAACAAGCAUUGCUGUCCAGAUUUUGACAGCUUCAAACAUCACAUUUUAAACAGCCAUAACCUGACUUCUAGACCACCAAAAAGGGUGAUCCAAAAUUUGUUGGAAACCUUAAGAAAAGUACUACAAUUCACCUAUAAUUACUAAGAGCUGAUUCUCAGUUUUACUUAAUCAAACAAUCCAAUUUUCGAAACCUGUACAGAAUUUGGACAGAUUCUGAAACUGGACUUGGAAAAUUCAUAACUCUCAAACUACUAGACCUAUGACCAUGAUAUUUUUAUACCAGUAAGAUGAAGAAGUUAUUUACAUCUUUUAUAUAUAACACAUUCACAGAAAACAUGGUUUACUUUACUAAACUAGUUGCUUACGUAAAACUGGUCAUGCAGCAUUAAACAACAAGAAUCACACAUGUUCUUAAAACUUAGAAUUCUCUAGUACUUUAUUAUAAAUUAAAGCUAAGAUCACCUACUUAAUUACACUAUACAUAUACAUAUUCACCCAAGUAUAUUCCACAUAAUAUAUCAUCACAAAAAGAACUCGUCUUAAUCAUACUACACAUAUACCUAAAGAAUUUACUCUCCUUUGACAUAUUCAUUCACCAACUAUCGCACAUGUGGACAACAAUGAAUCUGAAAGUCGACACACCAUAUGCUUGCGCUAUAAACAAGAAAAUCAUCGACCACAACUUUAAUCAAUACAACGAUCAAAUUAACUAAAUAGAGUAGCGAACAGGCUCACCAAUUCACAAACCGACCCGAAGAUCCGUGAGAAAGUCGAGGUUCCCGGUUCGGACCUUCCAUCGAACACUUAGUAGGCGGCGCUCACUUCGCUUUCUCCUUUACAAAUUCGGGGAUUUCUCCUUAAAUCUAGGGCGUGGCGAGGAGAACGCUGGUGAGGUUUUAGGAGUCGACGAUCAAUUGGUGGUACUGUCGGGGCGUGUCCACGACGACGGCUGGUAACCGGAAAGGUGGGGUAGGACCGAAAUAGUGGCAAGCCAGAGCAGCAGGCGAGGGCGCAGGGAGCUGAUGCAUGCGUGGAGACGAGGGACACGCAAGGGGCGAGCUCUAAGCUGGCAAACGCUGGAGCUCGAUGGGUAAGGCACAAGCGAAGGAGAGCGCGGCCAAGGGGAGGAGCUCGACCACCGGUAGCCACAGCGAGCGUCAGCGCAGGGACAAGUGACGAUGGAGCAGGGCCUGUGCGGUGCCGAAGCGAAGCAAAGAACGUGUGUGAGGGGAGAUAAAUGCCACACCCGGAAGAUGCUUCCAGGGAUCGCUCAUCUCAGAAUAAAGAAAGGAGCAGCAACGUGGAUGGACCAGAGGAAACGUACGUGGAAUAGAUGAAGAUGACGUGCAUAGGAAAGAGAUAAGCUUCCUUCGUUGGCUUGAUUUGGAUCAGGGAGAAGGAUACGUGGCUGAGAUAAGAACAAUGGAAAAUACCAGAAGUGGGACAGCAUACGUAGUUAGGAAAAAUAACGGCAGAGAUAGAAGAUUGGAACUUUCUUUCUUUCCUUAAUUAUUAUAUAAUCUUCUUUCCGAUGUAUUUUUAGCGCAAUAAUUAUUCCAUGUUUGAAUCUCUGGCUAUGAUUUAUCUUGAUUGGAAUUUAUACUGCAGAAUUUUAAACAAUUCGUGUUUAGGGAUUCGGAUCUGGGCAAGAUACAAAUAGAUUGGAUCAAAAUGUUGGGCAAGAUACAAACAGAUUGGAUCAAAAUGCUGUUAGGUUACGAUAUUAUUUUUCUCAGACUCUGGAAUAGGAAACUGAUUCGGCUAACCGUUGUUCUCGUUUCAUUUAGUUUAGGUUCAUUUUAUUUAAAAAGCCUACUCUUAUUAGUGUCUACAGAAUUCGUAAAAACCGCUCAGAUAAGAGCAAAAUAUUUAGAUGACGUUUUCAAUCGGCCUUAUUCGAUUAAUUUUAAACUGGCACCAGACUUGACACUUUAUGAAAUAAAUAAAUGUUGAACUACGCGAGCCGAACACGACAUCGCAAUGAAAAUCCCUCCGGAGACGAUGUCAGCAUCGUCACGGGAGCGAGGUGUAGACGGAUUAAACCAGACGAGAUCAAAUUCGAUAUUUUAGUCGACGUUUGAUUUAGUUGAAUUUAGACGAAUUUCGUUCACUACUCGAACACUCGACUUAGAGAACAAUUCAAUUAAUGCGCUGGCGCAUUACUCUUUUCGGACAGCGCGGGGCUCCAAAUUUUUACAUAAAAUCAGAAGUUUUCUGAUUUUGAUAUUCACUUACGCGCGUGAUCCGAACAGUUCAAAAUUCGCCAGUGACGAAAAUUCGAUAAUCCAAAAGCUUCAUGAACCCCUUUUUUUUACUUAAAUUAUGGAAAUGAAAACGGCGCCAAACUUGAACUUUUGCGAGAUGAUUAAAAUUGAGCAUCUGUUUUAUCCACUGAUAUUACGUGCUUAAAUCCAUACUCGUUGUCGAGCAGAAUAUAAACACCUGAGAUGUUACAGGAUUCCCAACACUAGAAGACGGGCUCUCGGUGCUGUCGAAAAACGAACUGGCCGACAGCCUGGCAUACAAUAGCUUAAAGGUGCAAAAAAUGAGAUCUUUGUAUUUUUUCUUGAGACCAAAAUUUUUCGUUUGCUUAAAUUUAUUGACGCACACACAUUUUUCUUUGCAGGGCCUUAUACUUAGCAAUGCCCUCAGGGCCCAAAAAGAUGCCGAAGAUGAAGGAUGCGCUAUAGCCCUGAGCAACCUUCGUUCCGAAGUAAUUGAACUAAGGAACGAAGGUCUCGAAAAAGAUAAAAUAUUACAUUCAUUGAUAAAUAGAAUAAAAGAAGACGAAGCUACUUUUAAAGGUCAAGCUGAGGCUCAGAAGCGUGAAAUUGAAGAUCUUCGAAAACAACUGGCCAGAGCUAAAGAGGAACGCAUACUUAAAGAAACGAAGCGAGAACUUAGCGACCAAUGGGCAAAUCAUUUAGAAGGAACUGUUGAAGAGCUUUGUUCGUCCAAGAAAAGCUGCUAUGAUAAAUCUAUGGAGUGUGUUAAGAAGAUGAAAGCUAGCUUCGCCAGCGUCGGCGCAUUCUCAAGCGAAGACAACUUUACAAGAGGCAACCCCGAAGGUCCCAUCGAAUGGAUCAAUCACGAAGCUGAGGCCUUUGAGGAAAUUUUAAAUAGCCGCGGAGACAUAUGUGCUUUCUCGGGUGCUAGGGGGAUUGCCACCAUUUUGGAGAAAAAGGGCUGCGAGCAUGUAAAGAUUUUAGCGUAAUCCGAAGCUGCCUUGCCCUUCGAAGAUGCAAAAGAUCCUUCAGCCGAAGCUAGCAUGGUUGGUGGAAAAUUUUUCACCGAUGUCUGGGAUAAUGGUGGUCGAGAAAUGGCCCGAGAAAUUAUCCAAAAAAGCGAAAAGGGUAUUCACGAUGCUAGAAAAGUAGCAGAGGCUGCUGAGAAAAGCGCAGAGCCCGAAGGGCAAAUAGGUAUUAACUAAUGGUUUUUAUUGUGUUGUAAUUUUUGGUUUUAAACUUCGUUCGCAAUUUGUAAUAGCAAUGUAGCCGUAUCCUGUCCUCCUUCAGAUCCUACUAAAGCGUCUCCGGGCCCUCACCCGAAAGGAGACGACGAAAUUAAAAAGAUGGCUGAAGCUAUCAUGGAUGAAGUUGUUAAUCAGCUCCUGAACGAAGCUGCGGAAGUUGUACUUAGAGAAGAUUAAGUGCUAUUGUAAAAACUUCUGAAAUGUAAUAUGUGUAACAUCUUGUAAUCCUGAAUAUAAUAUACUUGUUUUUAUGGUUCAAUUCUUUACGAUGCAUGAAAUUUUACAUACGUACCGUUUUUGAGUCUUUGACGAAAAAAAACACCUUCCCUUCUUUUCGUGCUUUGUGAAGAAAAAUUAUAAUAAUAUCCGUAGUGUUCUGAUGAAGAAUAUCCAAGCUUCGUGAAGAUAUUUUCCGAAGCUACACUUCCGAAGAUCAAUAGUGUAUCCCCUUCUUGUGCCAUAUGCAGCAUGAUGUAUGAUGCUUAUGCCAUGCGAAAUGAUGUGAUGAUGUUAUGCUAUGUAAGAUGGUAUUUAUUCCGAAGAUACACGCACAUCCCUGUAAUAAAACGCAUAAUCUUUUUAAAUCAGCGUUGACUUUUCGUUGUAAGCCUCCCUUAGGAGCUUCUUCGCCUUUUACUUCAGCGGAAUCAGCGUUUAUUUUUCGCUGUAAGCCUCCCUUGGGAGCUUCUUCGCCUUUUACUUUCGGCGGUAUUCGCGUUGACUUUUCGCGCUUCGCCUUUUACUUAGGCGGUAUCAGCGUUGACUUUUCGCUGUAAGCUCUGCAUUCCUUUUGGAACGACUUUGGAGCAGAAAACUUACACUGCGCUCCCUUUGGAACGGCUUUUUGUAGCUUCAGCAAACUUACUCUGCGUUCCUUAGAACGACUUUUUGUUGCUUCGAAGAAUUCAUACCGUGUCUUUUUAAAAUAAUUUUUUGAUAAUUCGAAGGUCCUCCUUGCUAUUGCAAAUCUUCAAGCUCCGACAACUUAAACCUGUGGAGAAGAUAUAUUUUCCUUAUGGCAGACAACAAAACUAUUACUUGAAAUUUAAAAAGUAUCCUUUAUUACACAGAAAAUAAAACUGAAAUGAAGAGAACUGCUAUCAAAAUAGGAUAUUUGUCAAUAGAUGUGCUUCGACUCUGGCACAGUGCUAUUGACUGCGAGCUUUGGAUUGUUCUCUGAAGUCCCUUUGGUGUGGAGCAUAUUGGCUCCCUUCUGGCUGUUGGCCUUGUUGCAGCGGUGGUGGAGGCGGAGGCUGUUGCCAGGAAGCUUGAGGUUGACUCGCCGAAGCAACAGAAACUGCAGGGUGGUUGCCUACAUAUUCUGGGAUGUAAGGCGAAUGAUACGAAGCAGUGUGCAUGACCUGCUUCGGCUGAGCCUGUUGUGCUGCAGCUUCGGCUUUUUCCUUUUGCUUCUGGAUGGUAACAUGGCACAUCCUGGUGGUAUGGCCCUUGUUCUCACCACAGAACAAGCAAAAAAUUCUUCUUGGUUGAUCUCCAAAUCUUCCGCCGAAGCCCCUGGCGCCUCUGCCUCUUGGAGCUGGCGGUCGGAAGGAGCUUUGCUAUUACCCCGAAGCCUGUGAGGAGCACUAUGGCCUUUGCUGCUGGCUCCCCCUAUCAUCAUUUUGAGUAGAGUUGUGAAUUGACCUAACGUGCCUCGGAUAGAAUCUUCCUCCGAAGCCCCUGGUCAUUUCAGAAAACCUGAAAGCCUCCUCCCUUCUUUGACGAAAAUCAUUAUCGGCCCGAAUAUACUCGUCCAUCUUCUGGAGCAGCUUUUCCAAAGUUUGAGGAGGCUUCCUAGCGAAGUACUGAGCUGAAGGUCCUGGCCGAAGCCCCUUGAUCAUGGCCUCAAUGACAAUUUCGUUGGGCAUUGUUGGUGCCUGUGCCCUCAAACGCAAGAACUUCCGGACAUACGCCUGAAGGUAUUCUUCGUGAUCCUGGGUGCACUGGAAUAGAGCUUGAGCAGUGACCGGCUUCGUCUGAAACCCUUGGAAGCUGGUUAACAACAAGUCCUUCAGCUUUUGCCAUGAAGUGAUCGUUCCUGGUCGAAGGGAGGAAUACCAGGUUUGAGCAACACUCCUGACAGCCAUAACAAAAGAUUUUGCCAUGACUGCAGUAUUGCCACCAUACGAAGAUACUGUUGCUUCGUAGCUCAUCAAAAACUGCUUCGGGUCUGAAUGGCCGUCGAAUAUGGGAAGCUGAGGCGGCUUGUAGGACGGAGGCCAAGGUGUAGCCUGCAGCUCAGCGGACAGAGGAGAAGCAUCAUCAAAAGCAAAAUUUCCAUGAUGGAAAUUGUCAUACCAGUCAUCUUCGUUGAGGAAACCCUCCUGAUGAAGGUCUUGGUGCUGAGGCCUUCGGUUUUGCUCAUCCUGAGUAAGAUGACGAACUUUUUCAGAGGCUUCGUCUAUCUGCCUUUGCAGUUCAGCUAGCCUGGCCAUCUUUUCCUUCUUCCUCUGCACAUGUUGAUGAAGCAUCUCCAUGUCUCUGAUUUCUUGGUCUAUCUCAUCCUCUGGCGGUGUCGGGCUGGCAGCCUUCCUUUUCUGGCUUCGGGCCUCCCGAAGGGAGACAGUCUCCUGAUUGGGGUCCAGCGGUUGCAGUGCUGCAGCCCUGAAAGGGAAAUGUGCCCUUGGGCCAUUUCUAAGUAUUUUGGUGAUUGAGUGUCAACACAAGUGCUUAAAUGUGAAUCAAUACCCAUGGAUGAACAAAGUGCAAAUCUAGAGCAAAGGUAUGUUUCUAAGUCUUAGUACAUUGGUUUUGUGUACUAAUAUACUUGUCUAAGUAUUAGAAACAGGAAGAAGAAGAAGAAGAGAAGAAAGUUGGCUGUGUACAGCCAACAGGCUGUUUCGGUCUGGGGCACCGGACUGUCCGGUGGUGCACCGGACAGUGUCCGGUGGUGCACCGGACAGUGUCCGGUGCGCCAGGCUAUCUCGGCCGAAGAGGCCGCUCUCGGGAAUUUGCUGACGGCGUACGGCUAAAAUUCACCGGACUGUCCGGUGUGCACCGGACUGUCCGGUGAGCCAACGGUCGGCCAGGACCAACGGUCGGCCGCGCGAUCAGCGCAGGACACGUGGCCGAGCCAACGGUCGGAAGGGGGCACCGGACUGUCCGGUGUGCACCGGACAUGUCCGGUGCGCCAACGGCUCUCUGGCGGGCAACGGUCGACUGCGCUGUUUAAGGAAGGAAAUCGGGCACCGGACAGUGUCCGGUGUGCACCGGACUGUCCGGUGCGCCCGACGACAGAAGGCAAGAUCAGCCUUCCAGAUUUGCUCUCAACGGCUCCUAGCUGCCUUGGGGCUAUAAAAGGGACCCCUAGGCGCAUGGAGGAGACAUCUAAGCAACUCUUGAGCAUUCUUGAUCAUCCAAACUCAGUCUUUGCGCAUCCGUUUGUGAUUCUAAGUGAUUCGAGCUCUGUUCUUGUGAGAAACUGUGAGAUAGUCUUUACGCUCGAAUCUUAGCCGUGUGUGUGCGCGUUUCGCUGUGGAUUUGUGUGUGUUGCUUCCCUCCCUUACUCCGUGCUUCUUUGUGAAUCUUAAGUGUAAGGGCGAGAGACUCCAAUUUAUGGAGAUUCCUCGCAAGUGGGAUAAAGAUAAGCAAGGCAAAAUACUGUGGUAUUCAAGUGGGUCUUUGGACCGCUUGAGAGGGGUUGAUUUCAACCCUCGUCCGUUGGGACGCCACAACGUGGAGUAGGCAAGUUUUGUACUUGGCCGAACCACGGGAUAAAUCACCGUGUCUCCUCUGUGUUGAAUUCUCUGUGAUUGUCGUAUUGUGCAAGAUCUUCUCUUUAGCCACUUGGCAAUUAUUGUGCUAACCUCUAACAAGUUUUUGUGGCUAUAAGUUAAGUUUUUACAGGAUCACCUAUUCACCCCCCCCCCCUCUAGGUGCUCUCAAUUGGUAUCGGAGCCGUUCUCUUCACAAAGGGACUUACCGCCCGAAGAGAUGGAUCCUAAGGGGAAGGGAAUAGUGAUCAACGACAAGGAAAAGGAGUUCUUCGUCAACGACCCAAAAGAUGACAAAUCCAACGACUCCGGCUCGGGGCAUAAACGGAAGGAAGGGAAGAAGAAGAAGACAAGGCGCAUCAAGGAGAUCAUCUACUACGACGAUAGUGAUGAGUCUACUUCUUCCCAAAAGGAUGAUGACAACGACUACAAAAAGACGGUCAAUUCGAACUUUUCAUUUGAUUAUUCUCGUAUUCAACAUAGUUCGAAUUCGCAUUUACUUUCCAUUCCUCUUGGCAAACCUCCACACUUCGAUGGGGAGGACUACGGAUUUUGGAGUCACAAAAUGCGUAGUCACUUAUUCUCUCUCCAUCCAAGCAUAUGGGAGAUUGUGGAAAAUAGAAUGAAGUUUGAUAGCUCGGAUAGCCCUAUGCUUAUAAAUGAACAAAUUCAUAGAAAUGCACAAGCUACUACUGUUCUCUUAGCAUCUCUGUGCAGGGAAGAGUACAAUAAGGUGAGCGGCUUGGACAAUGCCAAGCAGAUAUGGGACACCCUCAAGAUCUCUCACGAGGGGAACGACAUCACCAUGCUCACCAAAAUGGAGUUGGUGGAGGGCGAGCUUGGACGAUUCGCCAUGAUAAGGGGAGAGGAGCCAACUCAAACCUACAACCGGCUCAAGACCCUUAUCAACAAAAUAAGGAGCUACGGAAGCACGCGUUGGACGGAUCACGACGUCGUCCGCCUAAUGCUCAGGUCCUUUACCGUUCUUGAUCCUCAUCUCGUGAACAAUAUUCGUGAGAAUCCCAGGUACACGAUGAUGACGCCCGAGGAAGUACUUGGAAAAUUCGUGAGCGGGCGGAUGAUGAUCAAGGAGGCAAGAUACGUCGACGACGCGUUGAACGGUCCACUCCACGCGUUGAGCAAGGAGUCGCUACCUAGCAAGGUGGCGCAAGUUGAGGCGGCCGGGCUCAAUGAUGAAGAGAUGGCUCUCAUCAUCAAGAGAUUCAAGACGGCGCUAAAAGGUCGAAAGGGACAGCCAAGCAAGGCCAAGACCAAAGGAAAGCGAUCAUGCUUCAAAUGCGGUAAGCUUGGUCAUUUUAUUGCUAACUGUCCCGAAAAUGAUAGUGACCAGGAGCAAGGGAAAAAUGGGAAGAGAGAGAACAAGAAGGCUUACAAGAAGGCCAAAGGCGAAGCACACCUUGGAAAGGAGUGGGAUUCGGAUUGCUCUUCGUCCGACUCCGACGACGAAGGACUCGCCGCCACUGCCUUCAACAAAUCGGCUCUCUUCCCCAACGAGCAUCACACUUGCCUCAUGGCAAGGGAAAAGAAGGUAAUCACUCGUAAUGCUAAUACUUAUGAUUCUUCUAGUGAUGAUGAAUCUAGUGAGGAUGAAAUUGAUUACUCUAGUUUAUUCAAGGGAUUGGAUAGAACUAAGAUAGCUAAGAUUAAUGAGUUGAUCGAUGCCUUAAAUGAAAAGGAUAGAACCUUAGAGAAACAAGAAGACCUCUUAUAUGAAGAACAUGAUAAAUUUGUUAGUGCACAAAAUUCACUUGCUCUAGAAGUUAAAAGAAAUGGAAUACUUUCUUGUGAACUUUCUACUUGUAAUGAAACCAUUUCUUCUUUAAAAGGUGAAAUUAACGAUUUAACUGCUAAACUAGAAGUAGCAAGUAACUCGUAUGUUGAAAAUAUUACAAUUUGCACUAGGUGUAAGGAUUUUGAUGUUAAUGCUUGUAGUGAACACUUAGUUUCAAUUUCAAAACUAAAUGAUGAAGUGGCUAGUCUUAAUGCUCAACUUAAGACUAGCAAGAGUGAAGUUGAUAAAAUAAAAUUUGCAAGGGAUGCCUACACAGUGGGUAGACACCCCUCAAUUAAGGAUGGUCUUGGCUUCAAGAGAGAAGCCAAGAACUUAACAAGCCAUAAGACUCCUAUCUCCACCAAGGAGAAAGGGAAGGCUCCUAUGGCUAAUAGUGUUAAGAAGAAUCAUGCUUUCAUGUACUAUGAUAGGAGAUACUUUAGAAAUGCUUUUAGAAGUAAUGAUGUUUUUGAUUCACAUGCUUAUGACUCUUAUGCUAUGACUGCUUCUAGUUCUCAUGUUAUGCAUGGUAGAAAUGUGUUUAGAAGAAAUGUUGUUCACCAAAUGCCUAGGAGAAAUGUAGUUCAUAAUGCUCCUAGGAAAGUAGUAAAUGAACCUUCCGAAAUUUAUUGUGCUCUAAAUGCUUCCUUUGCUAUUUGUAGAAAGGAUAAGAAAAUUGUUGCUAGGAAGUUAGGGGCAAGAUGCAAGGGAGAUAAAACUUGCAUUUGGGUCCCUAAGAAUAUUUGUGCUAACCUUAUAGGACCCAACAUGAGUUGGGUACCUAAGUCCCAAGCCUAAAUUUGCCUUGCAGGUUUAUGCAUCCGGGGGUUCAAGCUGGAUUAUUGAUAGCGGAUGCACAAACCAUAUGACAGGGGAGAAGAAGAUGUUCACCUCCUACGUCAAGAAUAAGGAUUCCCAAGAUUCAAUUAUAUUUGGUGAUGGGAAUCAAGGCAAGGUAAAAGGGUUAGGUAAAAUUGCGAUUUCUAAUGAGCAUUCUAUCUCUAAUGUAUUUUUAGUAGAGAGUCUUGGAUAUAAUUUGCUAUCUGUUAGUCAAUUAUGUCAUAUGGGGUAUAACUGUCUAUUUACAAAUGUAGAUGUGUCUGUCUUUAGAAGAAGUGAUGGUUCACUAGCUUUUAAGGGUGUAUUAGACGGCAAACUUUAUUUAGUUGAUUUUGCAAAAGAAGAGGCCGGUCUAGAUGCAUGCUUAAUAGCUAAGACUAGCAUGGGCUGGCUGUGGCAUCGCCGCUUAGCACAUGUGGGGAUGAAGAACCUUCACAAGCUUCUAAAGGGAGAACACGUGAUAGGUUUGACUAAUGUGCAUUUCGAAAAAGAUAGACCUUGUGCAGCUUGUCAAGCAGGUAAACAAGUGGGAGGAGCGCAUCACAGCAAGAACGUGAUGACCACUUCAAGACCCCUGGAGCUGCUGCAUAUGGACCUCUUCGGACCUGUCGCCUAUCUGAGCAUAGGAGGGAGUAAGUAUGGUUUAGUUAUUGUUGAUGAUUUUUCCCGCUUCACUUGGGUGUUCUUUUUGCAGGAUAAGUCUGAAACCCAAGGGACCCUCAAGCGCUUCCUCAGGAGAGCUCAAAAUGAAUUUGAGCUCAAGGUGAAGAAGAUAAGGAGCGACAACGGGUCCGAAUUCAAGAACCUUCAAGUAGAGGAAUUCCUUGAGGAGGAAGGGAUCAAGCACGAGUUCUCCGCUCCCUACACACCACAGCAAAAUGGUGUGGUAGAGAGGAAGAACAGGACGCUAAUCGAUAUGGCGAGAACAAUGCUUGGAGAAUUCAAGACCCCCGAGUGUUUCUGGUCGGAAGCCGUGAACACGGCUUGCCACGCCAUCAACAGGGUCUACCUUCAUCGCCUCCUCAAGAAGACUUCGUAUGAGCUUCUAACCGGUAACAAACCCAAUGUAUCUUACUUUCGUGUAUUUGGGAGCAAGUGCUACAUUCUAGUGAAGAAAGGUAGAAAUUCUAAGUUUGCUCCCAAAGCUGUAGAAGGGUUUUUGUUAGGUUAUGACUUAAAUACAAAGGCGUAUAGAGUCUUCAACAAAUCAUCGGGUUUGGUUGAAGUCUCUAGCGACGUUGUAUUUGAUGAGACUAAUGGCUCUCCAAGAGAGCAAAUUGUUGAUUGUGAUGAUGUAGAUGAAGAAGAUGUUCCGACGGCCGCUAUACGGACCAUGGCGAUUGGAGAAGUACGGCCACAGGAACAAGAUGAACGAGAUCAACCUUCUUCCUCAACUAUGGUGCAUCCCCCAACCGAAGAUGACGAACAGGUACCUCAAGUGGAGGCGCUUGAUCAAGGGGGAGCACAAGAUGAUCAAGUGAUGGAGGAAGAAGCGCAACCGGCACCUCCAACCCAAGUUCGAGCGAUGAUUCAAAGGGAUCAUCCCGUCGAUCAAAUUCUGGGUGACAUUAGCAAGGGAGUAACUACUCGAUCUCGAUUAGUUAAUUUUUGUGAGCAUUACUCCUUUGUCUCUUCUAUUGAGCCUUUCAGGGUAGAGGAGGCCUUGCUAGAUCCGGAUUGGGUAUUGGCCAUGCAGGAGGAGCUCAACAACUUCAAGCGCAAUGAAGUUUGGACACUGGUGCCUUGUCAGAAGCAAAAUGUUGUGGGAACCAAGUGGGUGUUCCGCAACAAACAGGACGAACACGGGGUGGUGACAAGAAACAAGGCUCGACUUGUGGCAAAAGGUUAUGCCCAAGUCGCAGGUUUGGAUUUCGAGGAGACUUUUGCUCCUGUGGCUAGGCUAGAGUCUAUUCGUAUCCUGCUAGCAUAUGCCGCUCACCAUUCUUUCAGGUUGUACCAAAUGGAUGUGAAGAGCGCUUUCCUCAACGGGCCAAUCAAGGAGGAAGUGUACGUGGAGCAACCCCCUGGCUUCGAGGAUGAACGGUACCCCGACCACGUGUGUAAGCUCUCUAAGGCGCUCUAUGGACUUAAGCAAGCCCCAAGAGCAUGGUAUGAAUGCCUUAGAGACUUUUUAAUUGCUAAUGCUUUCAAGGUUGGGAAAGCCGAUCCAACUCUUUUUACAAAGACAUGUGAUGGUGAUUUGUUUGUGUGCCAAAUUUAUGUCGAUGACAUAAUAUUUGGUUCUACUAACCAAAAGUCUUGUGAAGAGUUUAGCAGGGUGAUGACGCAGAAAUUCGAGAUGUCGAUGAUGGGCGAGUUGAACUACUUCCUUGGGUUCCAAGUGAAGCAACUCAAGGACGGCACCUUCAUAUCCCAAACGAAGUACACGCAAGAUCUGCUAAAGCGGUUUGGGAUGAAGGACGCCAAGCCCGCAAAGACUCCGAUGGGGACCGACGGACACACUGACCUCAACAAAGGAGGUAAGUCCGUUGAUCAAAAAGCAUACCGGUCUAUGAUAGGUUCUUUGCUUUACUUAUGUGCUAGUAGACCGGAUAUUAUGCUUAGCGUAUGCAUGUGUGCUAGAUUUCAAUCCGAUCCUAAGGAGUGUCACUUAGUGGCGGUGAAGCGAAUUCUUAGAUAUUUGGUGGCUACGCCUUGCUUCGGGCUCUGGUAUCCAAAAGGGUCUACCUUUGACUUAGUUGGAUACUCAGACUCCGACUAUGCUGGAUGUAAGGUCGAUAGGAAGAGUACAUCGGGGACGUGCCAAUUCUUAGGAAGGUCCCUGGUGUCAUGGAACUCUAAGAAACAAACAUCCGUUGCCCUAUCCACCGCUGAGGCCGAGUACGUUGCCGCAGGUCAGUGUUGCGCGCAACUACUUUGGAUGAGGCAAACCCUCCGGGACUUUGGCUACAAUCUGAGCAAAGUCCCACUCCUAUGUGACAAUGAGAGUGCUAUCCGCAUGGCGGAGAAUCCUGUUGAGCACAGCCGCACAAAGCACAUAGACAUCCGGCAUCACUUUUUGAGAGACCACCAGCAAAAGGGAGAUAUCGAAGUGUUUCAUGUUAGCACCGAGAACCAGCUAGCCGAUAUCUUCACUAAGCCUCUAGAUGAGAAGACCUUUUGCAAGUUGCGUAGUGAGCUAAAUGUCAUAGAUUCGCGGAACCUGGAUUGAAUUGUAGCAUACAUGUACUUAUGCUUUUGAUCAUGUUCCUUUUUGCAUUUUGUUGCUUAUUAUGGUGCUCAAGUUGUACAAACACUCCCUGGACCUCACAAGUCCGUUGCAAAGUGAUGCACAUGUUUAGGGGGAGAUGUGUUACAACUUGACCCUUUGAGACUAACCAUGUGCUUGAGUUUGAUAAUUUAGUCUCGAAGGAGGAUUGAAAGGGAAAAGGUGGACUUGGACCAUGAAAGACUUCCACUGCACUCCGAUGAGAGGAUAACUAAUUCCAAGUUCAUCUCAUGAAAUCUUAUUGCCAUUUGCUCUUAAUUGAAGACUUUGGUGAGGCAAUGGGGUUAAAAGGCCAAGAUUGAUCCCGUUUUGGUGCUUCAUGCCAAAGGGGGAGAAAAUAAAGGCCAAAGUGAUAAAUGGAUCAGCUACCACUUGAGAGAUUUUGAAAAUAGUAGAAUAGAGUUUUUGUUGUGUCAAAAGGCUUUUAUUAUCUCGUAUUGUCUCUAUUGUCAAAAGUUGGCCUCUUGUGGGGAAAAGUGUUGAUUAUGGGAAAUAGGGGGAGUUUUUGAAAUCUUUGAUCAAUCUCUGUUGGAAUGACUCUCUUUAUGCCUCAACAUGUGUGUUUGACAUAGAAAUAGAGAUUUGAGUUUGAUUUGCAAAAACAAACCAAGUGGUGGCAAAGGAUGAUCCAUAUAUGCCAAAAUUGAAUCAAAACCAAUUUGAGUUUUUAUUUGAAGUGAUUUUGCACUUGUUCUAGUUGCUUUAUGUUGUGUUGGCAUAAAUCACCAAAAAGGGGGAGAUUGAAAGGGAAAUGUGCCCUUGGGCCAUUUCUAAGUAUUUUGGUGAUUGAGUGUCAACACAAGUGCUUAAAUGUGAAUCAAUACCCAUGGAUGAACAAAGUGCAAAUCUAGAGCAAAGGUAUGUUUCUAAGUCUUAGUACAUUGGUUUUGUGUACUAAUAUACUUGUCUAAGUAUUAGAAACAGGAAGAAGAAGAAGAGAAGAAAGUUGGCUGUGUACAGCCAACAGGCUGUUUCGGUCUGGGGCACCGGACUGUCCGGUGGUGCACCGGACAGUGUCCGGUGGUGCACCGGACAGUGUCCGGUGCGCCAGGCUAUCUCGGCCGAAGAGGCCGCUCUCGGGAAUUUGCUGACGGCGUACGGCUAAAAUUCACCGGACUGUCCGGUGUGCACCGGACUGUCCGGUGAGCCAACGGUCGGCCAGGACCAACGGUCGGCCGCGCGAUCAGCGCAGGACACGUGGCCGAGCCAACGGUCGGAAGGGGGCACCGGACUGUCCGGUGUGCACCGGACAUGUCCGGUGCGCCAACGGCUCUCUGGCGGGCAACGGUCGACUGCGCUGUUUAAGGAAGGAAAUCGGGCACCGGACAGUGUCCGGUGUGCACCGGACUGUCCGGUGCGCCCGACGACAGAAGGCAAGAUCAGCCUUCCAGAUUUGCUCUCAACGGCUCCUAGCUGCCUUGGGGCUAUAAAAGGGACCCCUAGGCGCAUGGAGGAGACAUCUAAGCAACUCUUGAGCAUUCUUGAUCAUCCACACUCAGUCUUUGCGCAUCCGUUUGUGAUUCUAAGUGAUUCGAGCUCUGUUCUUGUGAGAAACUGUGAGAUAGUCUUUAAGCUCGAAUCUUGGCCGUGUGUGUGCGCGUUUCGCUGUGGAUUUGUGUGUGUUGCUUCCCUCCCUUACUCCGUGCUUCUUUGUGAAUCUUAAGUGUAAGGGCGAGAGACUCCAAUUUGUGGAGAUUCCUCGCAAGUGGGAUAAAGAUAAGCAAGGCAAAAUACUGUGGUAUUCAAGUGGGUCUUUGGACCGCUUGAGAGGGGUUGAUUGCAACCCUCGUCCGUUGGGACGCCACAACGUGGAGUAGGCAAGUUUUGUACUUGGCCGAACCACGGGAUAAAUCACCGUGUCUCCUCUGUGUUGAAUUCUCUGUGAUUGUCGUAUUGUGCAAGAUCUUCUCUUUAGCCACUUGGCAAUUAUUGUGCUAACCUCUAACAAGUUUUUGUGGCUAUAAGUUAAGUUUUUACAGGAUCACCUAUUCACCCCCCCCCCCUCUAGGUGCUCUCAAGCCCCAGUUGCUGAAGCUUUCUUCGGCGCCAUAGCGAAGGUUUAUGAUCGCCGAAGGUGUUCAAAAACUCAAAGAGUGGAAGUGAGUUCACCGGAGGUGGGCGCCAAUGUUGGGGACUUGUUCUCAAAUGCUAUGAGUUAAGAACAAGGCAACACAGAAAAUGUUAAACGGUAAAGUCCUUCGUCCUUCGAAGCAUUAUUUCCCUUAGGAUAUAAUGAUUUUCGGACGAAGGUUAUGAAGGGCACACCUUCAUAAACACAACAUACGAUGAUGGAGAAUGAACUAUAUGAAAUAUGAAGGAUAACAUAGACAAUUAUAUAUUAUUAUCAACUUAUUUUUGCAUUAUUAUUAUGAAGAAAUAGAAAUGACAUCAAAUUACAAAUGUACCUUCGGCUUGGAAGGAGAUGAAAGUACAAGUGUGACGCAAAAGCAAAUGCCAAGUCAGUGUGAACAGUACGGGGGUACUGUUUACCUAUUUAUAGGCACGGGACACAGCCCAUAUAAAAUUACAUUCAUGCCCUUUACAUUUGGUAGUAAUUCUAUAGUAAUCCACCGAGGUCUGAAUAGCCUUUUCAUCUUUAAGUCGGUUUCCUUUUCUGCUACCACGCCGAAGCUUUCCCGCUCACAUCUUCGGCGUUGUAUCAACCUUCGUAUUAUUUUGGGCUUCUCCUACUGUGAUAUCGACUCGAGUCCGAAGAUACCUGUUCACACAUUAUACUCCAGAAACACUGUUAAAUCCUGUUUUUGAGGACCUUCGGAAGCCGAAGGCCCCCAACAGAGUUCUCUGGUGAUGAUUCUCCAUCUGUUAGAGUAAUCUUUUUAACAAAGAUCAUCGGUGUAACAGCAGCACUAGCAACAAUCACUUAUUGCUCAUAGUACACAGCAACGUGUAUUUUGUUCCACGUGCUAAUUACACUCACCGCUUAAAAAAGGAUUUUUUUUAGAAAUGGAAGGUGUGUUCUUGGCAGAGGUGACUCUUGAAUGAACCGUAACUAUUAAACCAAACUACCUCUGUCACAUCAAAUAUUUGCUAUGCUAAUUAAAAGUAUUAAUAUAGUCUAAUUACAAAACUAACUAUAUAGAUUAACAGGACAUAUGCAGUAGACUAACAGGACACCAAAUAACAAAUUCAGAAAAGCAAGCCAACAAGAUUGCAACCAAAUUUGAAGUGAAAUUCUCUGCCCUAACCUUGCCGCUAGGAUUUCUGUCGCUCCGUUGUCAUUUCCACAACUUAUGAACAGCAUUAGAACCAAGAGCCAAGAGUGCAAUACCAUUAUUUGUAUAUAACAAAUGGACAACCUGUGGAAGAAAGAAAUAAGUAUAUCCUCCAUCAGAAAUUUCUAUAACCUAUAUAUAUUCCUUCCAUUCCAAAUUAUAGGUCGUUCUGACUUCUCUAGAAUAUAGAUACAUAGUUUUCUCUUGUGUAUCAAGACAUAGCAUACAUCUAGGUGUAUAACAAAGCUAUGUACCUAGAAAAGCAAAAAACGAACGACAUAUAAUUUAGGACAGACGGAGUAGUUGAUUAUGUCGUCUAGCAUAACGCAGCAUCAAAUUACACCAAAACAACCCCAUCCAUCAAUCAGAGAGCAAUGGGUAAGCCACUUAUCCAUACUCAUAAUAUAAAGAUUAACUCAUGUGUCAGAUUGAUUGUAUGAUUAAACUGUAUUAAAAAUCACAAUAUAGUGAUACAAAGAGAGGUACAAGCAAACAGGUUAUCAUACUUUGCUUGGGUUCGUGUCCGUGUCUGUCAAAUGCAGAGCUUGAAGAUGUCUAUUAUCGACAAUGUCAGCCAACUUCCAGGUUUUGACCUUUUCAGAUUCAUCUGUGAUUCUUGGGUUAACAUUGGAGUUCUGCUUGCAUCCAUAGGUGCCUGCAAACCUACAUAAUGAAAAGCAAGAGAGGAUGGUAAACAAAAACAACCUGAUAUUACGAUCACGGUUUUUAUGUGAAUAAAAAGACUGGAUUUUUCUGAAGGUUAACAUGCUUUCCAGUCCCAGACUCCAGGUGCGUCGUUGUAUGAGCAAAAAUGACGAAUGCUUUUGACGAUUCAUUCAUGAAAAACAGGCAGGGUGCCUGAAACAUUUUUCCAUAAUAUCGUAUUUUUCUUUUGCAGUGGAAUUACACAUUUCACAGCAACAGUAAGGCCCCGUUUGGUUUGGGCUAACUAAAGUUUAGUGACUAAAGUUUAGUCACUUUUAGUCACUAAAGAAGCAAACAUAUUGACUAAAGUGGGGUGACUAAACUUUAGUUCUUUAGUCACCAAAUGGGUGACUAAAAGGGACUAAAUUAGUAUUUUUAUCAUAUUUGCCCUCUACACUUUCUUCUUAUAGCAAACAUCCAUUAAUUAAUAGGGGUAAAACAGUCAUUAUUCACAGCAAUUAAUGCUCUUUAGUCCGGUUUAGUCACUGGAACCAAACGGGUUACUUUAGCGACUAAACUUUAGUCACUAAAAUUUAGUUUAGUGACUAAAGGAACCAAACAGGGCCUAAUACUAGUCGAAUUAAAUCAGCAUGUCCAGACUCUUAACCCAUUCAGUUCAUCAUAAGACAAGACAGUCCUGACGGUGAUGCGAAAGAGACCACACCCAAUUUUAGGAGUCCGAACAAAAAGAAAACUAUCGAACUUAUUGGAAAAAUGCAUAGCUUUAUCUAGCAAAUUCUACCAUAUACGACGCCUCGGCCUCGCGAUUAGAUUCCACAAACGAACCACCGAGCACUUCCAGCUCCAUAAAUAGCAACGGCCUCCCUCGAAUUGUGGUACCCACCCACAGCGUCCCCCUUUUGCCGAUCCAGUUGUGCCGAUCGGUAAUUUCCCGCGUCCACCAAAACCAGUUGCCGCCGUUUUUUUCGUCGCCGCCACGGACCAGGAUCGACCGGUGCCGAUGAAGCCAGCGGAGGACGAGGAUGCGCCGGCGACGGCGGCAGCGCAGACGGUCUGGUACGACCCCAUGACUUCGCCGCAGGCGCCGGCGCCGCAGCAGCAGCCGGCGAUAGAGGCUGCGAUGCGGGGGGCCUCGCCGUCGGUGAGCUCCAACGCGCGGCCUCUCAGGGUGUACGCCGACGGCAUCUAUGAUCUCUUCCACUUCGGCCAUGCGCGCGCGCUCGAACAGGCCAAGAAGUCGUGAGCGCCUCGUCAUGCAUCAUGCAUUCGAUCUCUAAUAGUUUUUCCCUUCUUAUUUUGCCUCGAUCGCUCCAGAUCUUGUGCGCUUGCCUCGCAUCGCAACUGGAUUGUUCGGAGAUCUUGUUUAAGUCCCUCAGAUUGUUUUUUUGGGGUUCACUCAUAAAUUAGCGUAGCAUGAAAAACAAAAUCGUAUAUGUGAUCAAUUUUGCCACUAGUUGUCUUGAACAAGAUUGGCAGAUAGAGUCAGACUGCUUGUUGAUUUAGUAGCGAUAUAUGUGAUUAGUGAUUAGUUAUAGGAGAUGAUGAGAAGGCCAGAAGUUUUCGAACUUACAUUAUUCUGCUAAACUUCUCUCGGCAGAUUUCCCAACACCUACUUGCUGGUAGGUUGCUGCAGCGACGAGAUCACCCACAUGUACAAAGGAAAGACCGUCAUGACCGAGGACGAGCGCUACGAAUCGCUUCGGCAUUGCAAGUAAGCUUUCCACCAUCUCCCCCGGAGCGGAGCGGAGCGGAACUGACGGAGCUUCUCUCUGCUUGGUCACCUGGAACGAAUGAAUUCCAAAGGUGGGUCGACGAGGUCAUACCGGACGCUCCAUGGGUGAUCAACCAGGAGUUCAUCGACAAGCACGACAUCGACUACGUCGCUCACGACGCGCUCCCGUGAGUGUGUGCUUUAUUUAUGCAAAAAGUUUGGCCAAAUGAUUUUUGCAACAAUUUUGAUCUAAAGAAAGGUUGACCGAAACGAUCUGCUUGUUUCAGAUACGCUGACACGAGUGGAGCUGCCAAUGAUGUCUAUGAAUUUGUUAGGAGCUCUGAAAUCUGAAUCUCCCUGCUGUGUCAAAGCAUCUAGGAAAUCUGAUGCAUGGUCUGUGUGUCUGUGCAGGUGAAAGCCAUCGGGAAGUUCAAGGAGACGAAGCGCACCGAGGGCAUCUCGACGUCGGACAUCAUCAUGAGGAUCUUGAAGGACUACAACCAGUACAUCAUGCGGAACCUCACCCGCGGGUACAGCCGCAAAGAUCUCGGCGUCAGCUACGUCAAGGUGCGGUGCAUUUUUUUGUCCGUCCACAAGAACUGCUCCCAAAGACAGGAGGAUGA